AAAUCACAUGAGACACACAGUAAGGGUGGAUGGCUACGCUAAGGGGGUUCACUAAAUCACAUGAGACACACAGUAAGGGUGGAUGGCUACGCUAAGGGGGUUCACUAAAUCACAUAAGACACACAGUAAGGGGGUUCACUGAAUCACAUAAGAAACACGGUAAGGGUGGAUGGCUACGAUAAGGGGGUUCACUAAAUCACAUAAGAAACACGGUAAGGGUGGAUGGCUACGAUAAGGGGGUUCACUAAAUCACAUAAGACACACAGUAAGGGGGUUCACUAAAUCACAUAAGACACACAGUAAGGGGGUUCACUAAAUCACAUAAGGCACA
ensembl:lncRNA